AGUGGAAUUUUUAUCGUUGACUGAUGAAAAAAAUGAAGAAAAACCCAUAACGUUCAAUUUGUCAUUAAUGAAUUGUACCAAAACAACAAAAUGCACCUACCGCAGUAGGAAAUGGGAUUUUAAAUUAGUGUUCUGGUAUUUUUGGUGUUUCUCUUUCUAAGGAAAAAAAGGAAAGGAAAGUUUACCGAAAUACUAAAGCUGGUACAAAAUCACUAAACAAAAACAAAAAAAAAUGCAGUAAUUUCCACGUCACCCGAAAAUAUCUCGACCGAACAAUAUUUCUGUCGGUGUCGGCUUAUGCAAAAACGAGCUGCACAAAAUUACACCGAACUGCGGAUUUUGAGUAAACGAUAUUUAGCCCGGACCACAAAAUAAAUUAAUGGAAAACAAUAAAAAUGUCAGAAUGAAAAAAAAAAAAAAAUGCACGUAUUAUAACGAUAAAAUAACAGAAUCGCCAACAUUUCGCCACCCUAUCGUUGUAUAAUAGUUUAUAAAAGAUAUGUUUGUACCGGAUAAUUUAAAUUUGAAAUAAAAUCCGGUCAUAAAUAUUAACAAUACAAAUGAUAAUUUUAUUCCGUCGCAUUUCGCGUAAUUUCUCGCUGUUUAUUUUCA